GGUGAAGCCAGGGUUGGGACUCUCGGUGUGCAGCUCCAGGUGCAAGAUGCGGAAGGAAAAUGGGAGAGAAGCAGGAAAGGAAGUUGGAAGCUCUUUAGCCACCACUCCUUCCGUAUUUGGGAGGUGGGUGUGAAAAGUAUACAGGCUUUGUAGGCAGUGAAUCUGGCCUCAGGUCACAGCUCUGUCAUUUUAUAACUUGUGAAUGUGAGCAAGCUCACAUUCAAUCUUUCAUUAUCUCCAUUUACAGACGAGGAAACUCCCUUUCAGCAUUGCCUUGAAGAAGAGAGAUAAGAUACUUGAAAUACUUUAUGUGAUACUUCAUGAUUGCUCAAGAAAUGGACAUGAUGGGGAUUAUUGAUGAAGAUCUUGCAAAUCCAAGAAAUGACAAUUCUCAGAUGCAGCCCUGCAGGGGAGUGGUAGAGGCAUUGGAGUUGGCAUGGGAGGAAGGUUCACAAGACUCAAGGCAUGGAGUUGAACUGGCUUUAUGUACACAGCCCUCUGUGCGCCCUGGCUCUGGGAUCUGACGGGCUUGAAUCGUGGCCGCACCCCUCAACAGAUGGGUGGCCUCAAGGACGUCCUUGACCCCUGUUCACUUGGGGUUUCUCAUCUAGCAGGAGGGGGUUACAUGACAAAUGUCCUGUGCCCAUCUGGAGCCUGACCCACGGCGGCUGCAAGAUGCCACUGCCACCACCCCUCCCAUCCCGCCCUCCCCUGCCCCGACAGUGACCCUGCGGUCAGAAGAAUCUGGACUGGACAGUUUUUCCAUCCUUGCAACUCCGUAAACUAGAGAUCAUGUAAUAAUAGAUUUAAACUAGCCAUUAAAGAUCAGACCUUCCUUUUUUUCUCCUCUUGAACAAGGAAGGAAAGAUGAUGUGAAUUCAG
rnacentral:lncRNA from 1 species